GCUCUCUAAAAUUCAUUGAAAAAUUUAACACUGAAGCUAAACCUAAUCGAAGUUUGUUCACUUAAUUGAAAAAUAUUCAGCUUGCACAAUUCAAUACAGAAACCAAAAUGAUGUAGUACAGAUGAUAAAUAUUGCCUAAUUCUUCCCAUUCCAAUACAAGAAACGAGGACCAAAGUAACCAGUCGUAAAUCAUAGCACAUAAUGCACAUACAUUACAACACCAAUUAAAAAGAAUAUUGCACCAUCAUUAAAUAUAAAACUCACUUUCAGCGAAACUCCAUUUUUGGGUCUAUGCCACUACGACCUUCAUCUAUAAUGGCCAAACUCAACAUUUCUGUGCAAAACUGAUCGUCUGGUUUCAGCCAUAAAGCCUGAUUGAGAAGCAAAUUUUAGAGGAGAUGAAAGUAAAUGGUUCAUCACAUAAUCAAGCUGUCCUUACAUCAUCAGAUAUUAAAAUUCAAGUGAAAUAAACCUUAUUUAUCAGCUAAAAAAAGAGAUGCAUGCAUGCACGUGUAUGACAGAGAGGCAGAGACAAACUGAAAAAAUAUUCCUUUCAUAUUCAAUGAAACAACAGCAAAGGAAAUUCCAGAUUACAAACCUUGUGAUAGUGCGUAAUUGCAGCAGUAAAAUUAUCCUGCAGGAGGAUAAAGAAAGAAUAACAUGAUACUUAAAAAUCUAGAAAACAAUGAAACUUGAAAAUUUAUGGUUCUGUUCAAUGCAGAAAAAUUUUCCUACAAAUAAGAGGGAAAAGGAAUUUUAGUAAGACAAGAAGAUAGACUAUAAUUGAUCAGUUUUUGCUCUCAAAAUUUCUUGUUUUGCAUGUUUUAUAGAUCUAGUAGUUUAUUGUAAAUUUUUAUUGGUGGAUUACUACUUCAUAUCACACCAUUCAUCGUAACAUUUUAUCCUAAUUAUUUCAGGCUAGUGAAUAUUGCCUUCACAAUUGAGAACUACAGUUUGCCUGUUGAACACCAUUAAUUUUUCUCCCAAAAUUCCUCAAAAUAAAAAGGGAGGUGUACAAAUGCCAAUUUUGUAGAUUACACCCAGUUUGGUCAUUCCCUAUUCUCAUUCUCAUUCAUUUCACUAUGGUUACCAAAGCCAAAUACCCAAGGAAUGCAAAUGAGGACUUGAUUUUUGUUCCGGAUACACUAUCCUACAAGGUUAUUUAUAUCAAGUGAUUUUCUUUGUUGUCUUCUUCAUAGAAAGUUGCAAGUACUUUUUCUUCCAUAAACAAAAUUAAACGUUCAGCACAUUCUAUAGAUGUUGGAAUUUAGCAUACGAAUUUUCCACAUUAACUCUUUUGUAUCAUUAAUAAAAUGGAAUGUUCAAACUUUUAUUUAAGAAGUUUGGCCAAGAAAAAAAAAUCAGCAUCACCAAAAAGCAUUAAAUAUAAGAGAAUCAUAACCUACUAAAGUUAAUUUCAUUAUAUUUUAUACUUUUUGUAACUACCUUCAACCUCAGCACUGACCCUCUUGGUUCAUCAUUACUUCCCAAAACUAGCAAAAAUCACUAAAUGAUUUUUUCUUAUUUAUAUUUUUCAAUCAAAUUUUCAAAUAUAUUACAAUUAUUGGUGGGCGCACAUAAGUUAAUGUAAAAAAGAUUUUUAUACAUAAAUAAAUAAAAUGAUAUUUGUCCCAACUUGUUUUUUAACUCAAUUUUCUCACUUGACAUGGCAUUGAUUCAUUUAUAAUAAAUUUGUGCCAAUAACUACCUACGUGUGAAUUUUCAGCAUUGAGUGUGUCAAUGUUUACCAAUAAGUUUGGUGGGAUAAAUAGAACUUCUCAUGUGUGUGUGCGUUUGCAAGAUGUAUACCAAUAGCAGGAAAUCAAGAUAUACCUGCAAAUGAUAAGUAUAUGCAAGACCUGCAUAGGUACUUAAACUUCUGGUUGAUAAUGUCAGUGCUCUCUCAUAGCAUGAAGUUGCUUCAUGAUACAUCUUUAAUUUCCUGUAUGCAUGAGCCAGAUUAACAACAGUUGGCUCCCACAAUUGGCUUAAAGAUGGAAUGUGUGCCAAAGUCUUCUCAAACCACAGUACAGCCUUAUUGUACUCUUUCAUGUUAUAAGCAACAACCCCUAAUUCAUUGUACACAAGUGGAUCUGAAGGGCAUAUCGUCUUUGCCUGCAUAAAAAACUGCUCAGCAAGCUUAUAACUGUGUGUUCGCAUGUACUCCAUCCCAAUGUACAAAGUUGGUAAAUGGCACCCUGGAAAUAAACGAGCUGCAGUGCGAUAUGCUGACAUUGCUUGAUCACCCUCUUCUUGAGCAGCAUAAGCAUUGCCAUAGCCUAUCCAAGCAGAUGCAAAGGUUCCAUCUAGACUCGUAGCCUUGCUGAAAUAGCGCCGUGAUUGGUCAUACUUCUUAAUACAAUAGUAAUAGCAACCAACAGCAAACCAUGAAAGAGCCUUUUGAGGAUAAUCCUUCACCAAAUUACAUGCCAUAAGAUAUAGCUCAUUUGAAUUUCCAAGCUCCAUAGCAGCAGCUAAAUGCACCAAUGUACAUUUCAAAUGGAAAGGGUCCUUCUCAAGUAGUAUGGAAGUUAGUUCAAAACAUUUGUGAUAUUCACCACAUUGAUGGUAGUAUUCAGCUUUGCAGGCAAGCAGAUCUGUAUCAUUCUUUAGCGUAUGCAUGAAAGAUGGGCUUGUAGAGUUACCAUUACAGCUUUCUUUUUCAAGCUCUCUGAAUUUGGCCUCUAUAACACUUUCUUUGUCAUACUUUUUUAUCAAGCAUGAGUAGAAGGACGAGAGCCACCCAUCUUCAGCGCCAAAUUGCAAUGAUGAAAGUAAACUUGUUUCUUCUUCACACGCAAGCAUGUGAUUUUCAAUAAGGCACUCCAACGCCUCAUAACAUAAAGGAUCAGCCUUGAUAGCAGCUUUGUACCACUGUCGAGCUUGAGCACGAUUUUCCAGAGCUUCAUAAGCCCUACCCCUUAGAAAGCAUAUUGCUGAAGAAAUAUUGAUCUCACGAUCUUCUCCAUCUUUAUCUAAGUACAUGACAUUGCAAUCUUUAGUGUCAUACACAUUCCCAUGUUCAUCUACCCUAGCAUCACCAAGCAUUGACAAACAUUGAUCCCACUCCUUCAGUUCCUCAAGGCAUUUUGCGGCGAGGUAGCGGAAGCGAAGGUCACGGAGGACGAUCUUCGACGCAUUGAGGAGGUGAAAGGCACGGCGAUAGUGGCGGCCAAGAAAAAGGGCCUGAGCCUGCAUGUAAAUGUCGGCGGGAUCGUUGGUGAAAGCGGCAACCUUAUCGGCGAAGAAUAUGGCAGAGGAGUACAAGUGCUUGCUCACGCAGUCACGCACCACUCCGCGCAGCUUCUCUAUUUGCUCUUCUUUCAUCUUCUACUUUCUUGUUCUUGGUGGGGGAAGAGGAUUUGGAGGGAAGCUGUAGACGGAGGAGAGUGUGGGGUUUUUGGAGUUCAAAGUUCAGUGAUCACUGGGGCUUUGCUUCUUUUAUGUGAUUGGGAAAG
rnacentral:misc_RNA from 1 species